GAAAAGUUCUCGCCCAGGUCUCUUUCAGCUCCCAGCUUCCCCGGGACACCUGUGUACUGUAUUCUCGCUUUGCACAAAAAAAACACAAUCUGGGCCACAGAAAUCGAGGACCCACGUGGCUUUCACCUGGUCGUACUCCGGAGCCCAGUCGUCAUAGAAGCGGAGCUUGCAGGCCAGGGGUCGCCAAGAAGGUGAAGGCUCAGAACUCGGGGCGCAGAUCCCCCUACUCCGGGCAGACGAAGAGUCUGGUCCCGCCUCCAGCACCGCGAAGAUUGGGUUUCCGUGAGAGAAAACAGCCAAUCAAAGCAAGAGGAUGCCAGCUCGCCCCCUGCGAGGAGCCAAUGAGCGCAAGGCUCUAGUCCUCCUGCCUGGGAAGAGCUCAGACUCUCCCAGGGGGACUUUGUUUCCACAAACACGUAAAAAAAAAGUGUUUUCCGGUUA